rnacentral:rRNA from 1 species
CAGCGCCACAAGUGGUAAUCGCUAUUAUUGGGCCUAAAGCGUCCGUAGCAGGUCUUGUAAAUCUUAUGUGAAAUUGUUGCGCUCAACGCAACAGCGUGCACGAGAAACUGUAAGACUUGGGACCGGGAGGAGUCAGAGGUAUUUCUUGGGGAGCGGUAAAAUGCUAUAAUCCAAGAAGGACCACCUAUGGCGAAGGCAUCUGACUAGAACGGAUCCGACUGUGAGGGACGAAAGCCAGGGGAGCGAACCGGAUUAGAGACCCGAGUAGUCC